UACCUGGUUGAUCUUGCCAGUAGUCAUAUGCUUGUCUCAAAGAUUAAGCCAUGCAAGUGUAAGUAUGAACUAAUUAAGACUGUUAAACUGCCUCCGACACCGUUACUUUGAAGAAAUUAGAGUGCUCAAAACAAGCCUACGCUCUGAAUACAUUAGCAUGGGAUAACAUCACAGGAUUUCGGUCCUAUUGUGUUGGCCUUCGAGAUCGGAUUAAUGAUUAAGAGGGACAGUCGGGGGCAUUCGUAUUUCAUAGUCAGAGGUGAAAUUCUUUGAUUUAUGAAAGACCAACCACUGCGAAAGCACUUGCCAAGAAUGUUUUCAUUAAUCAAGAACGAAAGGUGGGGGCUCGAAGACGAUCAGAUACCGUUCUAGUCUCAACCAAAGACGAUGCCGACCAUGGAUCAACGAAUGUUGCUCUUAGGACUUUGUCGGCACCUUAUGAGAAAUUAAAGUCUUUGGGUACCGGGGGGAGUAUGGUCGCAAGGCAGAAACUUAAAGGAAUUGACGGAAGGGCACCACCAGGAGUGGAGCCUGCGGCUUAAUUUGACUCAACAUGGGGAAACUUACCAGGUCCAGACAUAGUAAGGAUUGACAAACUGAGAGCUCUUUCUUGAUUCUAUGGGUGGUGGUGCAUGGCUGUUCUUUGUUGGUGGAGCGAUUUGUCUGGUUAAUUCCGUUAACGAACGAGACCUCAGCCUGCUAACAAGCUAUGUGGAGGUAUCCUCCACGGCCAGCUUCUUAGAGGGACUAUGGCCGUUUAGGCCACGGAAGUUUGAGGCAAUAACAGGUCUGUGAUGCCCUUAGAUGUUUUGGGCCGCACGCGCGCCACACUGAUGUAUUCAACGAGUAUAUAGCCUUGGCCGACAGGCCCUGGUAAUCUAUUGAAAUUUCAGCAUGAUGGGGAUAGAUCAUUGCAAUUGUUGGUCUUCAACGAGGAAGUCCUAGUAAGCGCGAGUCAUCAGCUCGUGUUGACUACGUCCUUGCCCUUUGUACACACUGCCCAUCGCUCCUACCUAUUGAAUGGUUCGGUUAAGUGUUCGGAUCGCGACGACGAAAGCGGUCCGCCAUUGACGACGUCGCGAGAAGUCCACUGAACCUUAUCAUUUAGAGGAAGGAGAAGUCGUAACAAGGUUUCCGUAGGUGAACCUGCGGAAGGAUCAUUG
rfam:Amborella trichopoda AMTR_V1.0_contig_29961, whole genome shotgun sequence.